rnacentral:tRNA from 3 species
GGGCGAUUAGCUCAGCUGGUUAGAGCGCUGGUUUCACAUACCAGAGGUCACUGGUUCGAGUCCAGUAUCGCCCACCA